rnacentral:rRNA from 1 species
AUUGAACGCUGGCGGCAUGCCUUACACAUGCAAGUCGAACGGCAGCAUGGAGAGCUUGCUCUCUGAUGGCGAGUGGCGAACGGGUGAGUAAUGCAUCGGAACGUACCGUGUAAUGGGGGAUAACGUAGCGAAAGUUACGCUAAUACCGCAUACGACCUGAGGGUGAAAGCAGGGGAUCGCAAGACCUUGCGUUAUACGAGCGGCCGAUGUCAGAUUAGCUAGUUGGUGAGGGAAAGGCUCACCAAGGCGACGAUCUGUAGCGGGUCUGAGAGGGUGAUCCGCCACAGGGGGACUGAGACACGGCCCAGACGCCUACGGGGGGCAGCAGGGGGGAUUUUUGGACAAUGGGGGCAACCCUGAUCCAGCCAUGCCGCGGGGGGAAAGAAGGCCUUCGGGCUGUAAUGCUCUUUCGGCCGGGAAGAAAUCGCACAGGCUAAUACUCUGUGUGGAUGACGGUCCCGGAAUAAGAAGCACGGGCUAACUACGUGCCAGCAGCCGCCGUAA